rnacentral:rRNA from 1 species
UACAGAGGUCCCAAGCGUUGUUCGGAUUCACUGGGCGUAAAGGGCGCGUAGGUGGCCUGUGGAAGUCUGCGGUGAAAGCCCGGCGCUCAACGCCGGGUCGGCCGUGGAUACUCUCGGGCUCGAGCUUACUAGAGGCAGAUGGAAUUCCUGGUGUAGCGGUGAAAUGCGCAGAUAUCAGGAGGAACACCAAUGGCGAAGGCAGCUCUCUGGUACAUGACUGACGCUGAGACGCGAAAAGCGUGGGUAGCAAACAGG